rnacentral:rRNA from 1 species
CCUACGGAGGCUUCAGUUGGGAAUAUUUCACCAUGGGGGAAAACCUUAUGCAACCACGCCGCGUUAGUGGAGAAGUAUUUUGGUAUGUAAAGCUCCAUCAGUAGGGGAGAAUAUUACGGUACUCUAUCAAGUAACCCCGGCUAACUACCUGACAGCAGACGGGGGUAAUCCGAGGGGGCAAGCGUUAACCGGAUGUACCGGGGGUAAAGGGAGCGGAGACGGGAGUGCAAGUCAGAAGUGAAAGCCCAGGGCCCAACCCCUGAACUGCCCUGGAAACUGUGCGGCUAGAGUACUGGAGGGGUAGGCGGAAUUCCUGGUGUAGCGGUGAAAUGCGUAGAUAUUAGGAGGAACACCAGUGGCGAAGGCGACCUGCUGGACAGUAACUGACGUUGAGGCGCGAAAGCGUGGGGAGCAAACAGGAUUAGAUACCCUAGUAGUC